rnacentral:rRNA from 1 species
AGGGCGUCUAGGCGGCCAAUCAAGUCAACGUUGAAAGCCCUUGGCUAAACUGAGGGAUGUACGUCGAAACUGAUUGGCUCGAGGAACGUAGAGGAAGGCGGAACUCUAGGAGUAGCGGUGAAAUGCGUAGAGACCGAGAGGUACCCCGAUGGUGAAGACAGCCUUCUGGGCGUUUCCUGACGCUGAAGCGCUAAGGCCAGGGGAGCAAAGGGGAUUAGAUACCCCCGUAGUCCUGGCUUCAAACGAUGUGGGCUUGGUGUCGGCUCCCGACAGAGAGUCGUUGCCGGAGUUAACGCGUUAAGCCCACCGCCUGGGGAUUACGUCCGCAAGGAUGAAACUCAAGGGAAUUGACGGGGGCCCACACAACCGGUGGAGCACGUGGUUUAAUUCGAUGAUAAGCGAAGAACCUUACCAGGGCUUGACCUAGCGGUAGUAGGACCCUGAAAGGGGAACGACCUCAAGCUUUGCUUGAGGAGCCGUGGCAGGUAUUGCAUGGCUGUCGUCAGCUCGUGUCGUGGGACGUUGGGUUAAGUCCCGUAACGAGCGCAACCCCUGCCCUUAAUUGCCAGCGGGUAAUGCCGGGGACUAUAAGGGGACUGCCGGAGAAUAUCCGGGGGAAGGAGGGGAUGACGUCAAGUCAUUAUGAUCCUUAUGCUCUGGGCGACACACGUGCUACAAUGGCCACUACAGUGAGGAGCGAGCCCGCAAGGGUCAGCAAAUCUCAAAAAGGUGGCCUCAGUGCGGAUUGGGGUCUGCAACCCGACCCCAUGAAGAUGGAAUCGGUAGUAAUCGCGGGUCAGCCAUACCGCGGUGAAUACGUACCUGGGCCUUGUACACACCGCCCGUCACACCA